rnacentral:tRNA from 1 species
GGGCACAUGGCUCAGUUGGUUAGAGCGCCGCGUUCACAUCGCGGAGAUCGCUGGUUCGAGUCCAGCUGUGCCCA